GAAGAAAGCCCUUCGGGGCAAGUAAGAGUGGCGCACGGGUGAGUAUCGCGUGGAUAAUCUGCCCUUCAAUGGGGGACAACUAGCCGAAAGGUUAGCUAAUACCGCAUAAGACCACAGUCUCUGCGGAGACAGAGGUUAAAGAUUUAUCGUUGAAGGAUGAGUCCGCGUCCGAUUAGCUUGUUGGUGAGGUAAUGGCUCACCAAGGCUGUGAUCGGUAACUGGUCUGAGAGGAUGAUC
rnacentral:rRNA from 1 species